UAAUCUCAGCUGGUAAUUAUGAGUAUUUAUCCAAAAGCCUCAAGUUACCAGGUGAGAUUUAA
rnacentral:pre_miRNA from 1 species